rnacentral:rRNA from 1 species
GACGAACGCUGGCGGCGUGCUUAACACAUGCAAGUCGAACGGAAAGGCGCUGAUUUUGUGGCGUGCUCGAGAGGCGAACGGGUGAGUAAAACGUGAGUAAAAUGCCCUUGUCUUUGGGAUAACUUCAGGAAACUGGGGCUAAUACCGGAUAGGAGCUACUGAUGCAUAGGGGGGGAUGGAAAGAUUCGGCGGUUUUGGAUGGUCUCGCGGCUUAUCAGCUUGAUGGUGGGGUAGUGGAUUACAAAGGCUUUGACGGGUAGGCGGCCUUGGAGGGUGACCGGGCUCCUUGGGCCUGCGAUACGCCCCAGACGCCUAUGUGACGCAGCAGUGGGAAAUCUUGCGCAACGGGCCCAAGUCUGAUGUAGCAGCCCUGCGUUCGUGAUGACGUGCUAUUGGUUGUAAACCGCUUUCUCCUGUGCUGUAGCCGUAUUGACGGUAAUGGGUAAAGAAGCCCCGGCUAACUACGUG